UGGUCCUUAAAUGGAGUUUAUGGCCUCCU
rnacentral:piRNA from 1 species